UUAACUAUUAUAUAGUACUCAGACGACACUAAUAUUCAGAAUUUUGGGUCCUCUGGCGGGCGCUCACCAGCCGGAGCCGGUGGCCGAGGCGGCCCACCAAAGCAACAAAGGUUAUAAUAACAUAGGGUUGGAGAGUCACCCGCGAGGGCGAUGUUCUCUGUAAUGAUCCCUCCGCAGGUUCACCUACGGAGA
rnacentral:misc_RNA from 1 species